AAAAAGAUAAGCUAAAAAAGCUAUUGGGUUCAUACCCCGCCUAUAAAAGUAUAAACCUUUUUCUUUUUA
rnacentral:tRNA from 1 species